rnacentral:rRNA from 1 species
UACGGGGGGGGCAAGCGUUGUUCGGAAUUACUGGGCGUAAAGGGCUCGUAGGCGGCCAACUAAGUCAUACGUGAAAUCCCUCGGCUUAACCGGGGAACUGCGUCUGAUACUGGAUGGCUUGAGUUCGGGAGAGGGAUGCGGAAUUCCAGGUGUAGCGGUGAAAUGCGUAGAUAUCUGGAGGAACACCGGUGGCGAAGGCGGCAUCCUGGACCGAUACUGACGCUGAUGAGCGAAAGCGUGGGGAGCAAACAGGG